rnacentral:rRNA from 1 species
GACGAACGCUGGCGGCGUGCUUAACACAUGCAAGUCGAACGGUAAGGCCCUUCGGGGUACACGAGUGGCGAACGGGUGAGUAACACGUGGGUGAUCUGCCCUGCACUUCGGGAUAAGCCUGGGAAACUGGGUCUAAUACCGGAUAGGACCCUGGGAUGCAUGUCCUGGGGUGGAAAGCUUUUGCGGUGUGGGAUGGGCCCGCGGCCUAUCAGCUUGUUGGUGGGGUGAUGGCCUACCAAGGCGACGACGGGUAGCCGGCCUGAGAGGGUGACCGGCCACACUGGAACUGAGAUACGGCCCAGGCGCCUACGGGAGGCAGCAGUGGGGAAUAUUGCACAAUGGGCGCAAGCCUGAUGCAGCGACGCCGCGUGAGGGGUGACGGCCUUCGGGUUGUAAACCUCUUUCAGCACCGACGAAGCGCAAGUGACGGUAGGUGCAGAAGAAGGACCGGCCAACUACGUGCCAGCAGCCGCCGCCG